AAAGAUCUCAGAGGAUCUUCUGAAGGCAUGUCAAAAAGAGGAGACUCCUGAUCCCCACGAACAUUUUUCUGUGAGUGGCUUUCAGAAGAUCUAAACGAUGAUGUCCCAAUAUUUUUUCUAGAGGUAGAGGUAUGUGCAUCACUCCUUCCUGGUCCAGCCUUUGACGGGCUCCUAUCCUUACCUCCAGUCUUAUUCUCAGGGGAAAGUGGAUGAACCGGAUUAUUAAAACCAUUAAGUGGAUCUAGAUCAUCAAACACCC
rnacentral:lncRNA from 1 species